rnacentral:rRNA from 1 species
CGGAGGAUCCAAGCGUUAUCCGGAAUCAUUGGGUUUAAAGGGUCCGUAGGCGGGCCUGUAAGUCAGUGGUGAAAUCUCCCCGCUCAACGGGGAAACUGCCAUUGAUACUGCAGGUCUUGAAUUAUUGGGAAGUAACUAGAAUAUGUAGUGUAGCGGUGAAAUGCUUAGAGAUUACAUGGAAUACCGAUUGCGAAGGCAGGUUACUAUCAAUAUAUUGACGCUGAUGGACGAAAGCGUGGGGAGCGAACAGGAUUAGAUACCCUGGUAGUCCACGCCGUAAACGAUGGAUACUAGCUGUCGGGGGCGAACCUCGGUGGCUAAGCGAAAGUGAUAAGUAUCCCACCUGGGGAGUACGAACGCAAGUUUG